CCUACACGAAGUCGGAAUCGCUAGUAAUCGCGGAUCAGCAUGCCGCGGUGAAUACGUUCCCGGGCCAUGUACACACCGCCCGUCACACCAUGGAAGUUUGCAAUGCCCAAAGUCGGUGGCCUAACCAUUUGGAGGGAACCGCCUAAGGCAGGGCAGAUGACGUGGGGUGAAGUCGUAACAAGGUAUC
rnacentral:rRNA from 1 species